rnacentral:rRNA from 1 species
AGCAGUAGCCGCGGGAAUACGUAGGUGGCAAGCGUUGUCCGGAAUUAUUGGACGUAAAGCGCGCGCAGGCGGCCUAUCCAGUCUGUCUUAAAAGUUCGGGGCUCAACCCCGUGAUGGGAUGGAAACUAGUAGGCUAGAGUAUCGGAGAGGAAAGCGGAAUUCCUAGUGUAGCGGUGAAAUGCGUAGAUAUUAGGAAGAACACCAGUGGCGAAGGCGGCUUUCUGGACGAAAACUGACGCUGAGGCGCGAAAGCCAGGGGAGCGAACGGGAUUAGAUACCCGCGUAGUCCCUGUCUCUUAUACC